rnacentral:sRNA from 1 species
GCUGGGCGGAGUGGCGCAUCUGUGGUCCCAGCUACCAGGAGGCUGAGGCCUGAGGAUCUCUGGAACCCUGGCGUUUGAGUCCAGCUGGGCAAUAUGGUGAGACCCUGUCUCGU